GUGAGUUCUACCUCCCUGUGUUUGACGACCAUCACUACACGAAGCAACCCACAUUCUCCUCUUUGCUACUUUGCAAGGCCAAGGCAGUUAAAAGGAAAAAAAUGAAAGGAAAUUGGCCUCGGUCCAGUAUACCUGAAGGAGCGUCUCCACCCCCAUCGUUCUGCCCGGGCACUGAGGUCCAGUACCGAGGGCCUUCUGGCGGUUCCCUCAUUGCGAGAAGACAAGUUGCAGGGAACCAGGCACCCGCCCUGUGGAACGCCCUCCCAUCAGAUGUCAAAAAGGAAAACAGCUACCAAAUUUUUAGAAGACAUCUGAAGGCAGCCAUGUUUAGCGAUGUGUCUCCACUAUUUGUUGGUGGUGCCUAAGUGGCCAGAAUAGUGAACAAAGGAGGAAGAAGAAGAGAAAGGAGAGGAAGCAGAAUAUAAUGAUGGAGGAGGAGAACAUCUCAUAACAUGGAGAGAAUAUAUAUUUCCACAAUCUUUUCAUUUUCUCAGUAUUCCACUUCAGAGCAAACUGGUAGCCAGAUAGCUGAGCUUCUUCAUGAAUCAUUUCUCACAUCUCCCUCUCUCUCUCUUUCUCCCCCAACCCCCCAAUUUUUAUUUGCUGAAAGUCUUUGUUACACAGUUAUCUAUCAAGUUCUUUCUAUCUGCCAAACCAGCAAACGGAGACGAGCCGUAUCAAAUGUCCAUGAAUUACAAACACGUUGUGUGUCCAUACAUCAUUGCGCUGAUGUAUUGAUACUUACGGUGCUG